UAGGGAAUCUUCCACAAUGGGCGAAAGCCUGAUGGAGCAACGCCGCGUGUGUGAUGAAGGGUUUCGGCUCGUAAAACACUGUUGUAAGAGAAGAAUGACAUUGAGAGUAACUGUUCAAUGUGUGACGGUAUCUUACCGGAAAGGAACGGCUAAAUACGUGCUAG
rnacentral:rRNA from 1 species